AUUAGUUUACAGCUGUGAAACCAUCUACAGUCUAUGCCAUAAAUAUAUUCAUCACCUUAAAAGUUUGCAGCUGCCCAUUGUAUUAUUUUUGUGAUAAGAACACAACAUAAAAUCUACCCUCUUGGCAAAUUAUUUUAAGUAUGCAAUACAGUAUUGUUAACUGUAGGCAAUAUGCUGGUAUAGUAGGCCAUUAGGGCUUAGUCAUGCUGAAUAACUGAACUUUCAUACUCUUUGACUAAUACUAAACUUCCCCAUUUGCUCUUUCUCCCAGAUCAUGGCAACUACCAGUCUAUCCUCUGUAUUAUUAGUUCGACUAUUUUAGAUUUCUCUUAAAAGAGGAAUCGUGGUAUUGUCCUAUUGCUGAUUUAUUUCACUUAAUAUAAUAUCUUGCAAGUCUAUUGUUCAAAUGGUAGAAUUUCUUUUUUAAGGCUGAAUAAUAUUCCAGUGUGUAUGUGUGUGUGUGUGUGUGUGUGUGAGACACACACACACACACAUACCACGUUCUCUUUAUCCAUUUGUAUUUAGAUUGCUUUUAGGUCUUAGCUAUUGUGAAUAAUGAUACAAUGAACACAGGAUUGCAGAUUUGCCUUUGAAAUCCUAAUUGCAAUUUCUUUGGAUGUGUACCAGAAAUAACACUGUUGAAUUUUUUGGUACUUGUUUUUAAUUUUUGAGGAACUUCCAUAUGUUUUCCACUGUGGCUACACCAGUUUAUAUUCCCAUUAUGGGUAUACAUUUUCUCCACAUUGUCACCAACACUUAUCUUUUGUCUUUUUGGUAAAGUUUGAGGUGAUAAUUUGUUGUGGUUUGAUUUGUAUUUCCCUGAUAAUUAAUGUUGUUGAGUGCCUUUUCACCUACCUGUUAGCUAUUUCUAUAUCUGCUUUUGAGAAAUGUCUUAUUCAGUUCCUGUAUACAUUUUUAAAUCAGUUUGGUUUUUUUUCUGUUGACUUAUAAGAGAUCUUGUAUGUUUUAGAUAUUAAC
rnacentral:lncRNA from 1 species